GAUGAAGAACGCAGCGAAAUGCGAUAAGUAAUGUGAAUUGCAGAUUUUCAGUGAAUCAUCGAAUCUUUGAACGCACCUUGCGCUCCCUGGUAUUCCGGGGAGCAUGCCUGUUUGAGUGUCAUUAAAUUCUCAACCCCGAUCGGAUUUGUUUUCGCAUUCGGAGGCUUGGAUAGUGGAGCGUGCUGGCCCCCUCUCAUGGGUCGGCUCCUCUCAAAUGCAUUCGCGGAAUCGACUUUGGUCCAUUUCGGUCAUCAGUGUGAUAAACGUUGCGCUGUUGGCUAGGAUCGAGGUGCCGCAUACAAUGGUCUUCGGACAAUUUUAUAAACCAUUUGACCUCAAAUCAGGUAGGACUACCCGCUGAACUUAAGCAUAUCAAUAAGCGGAGGA
rnacentral:misc_RNA from 1 species